AGAGCUGGAGAGGGAGUUUUAAGUGGUUUCUGCAAAAUAUUUUGGAGGAGAAUGAUCUGCCUUUAGUAGUCAAGGACUCUUCUUGCAACACUCAGGCUCUGUUUUAUGGACAGAAAGAGUCCAGGAGGCUCUCUGAGCCACACAAGGCCCUUUGCAACCUUCCUGGGCUCGGGCUGCGAGCAGCCAUUUUGGAACAUGUGAAACGGAUUUUAAAUUCCCUCUUUGCAGUUUGAGAAGAUGGCGGCCUGAACCGGAGUCCUUCUUCCCCUCCUCCCUCUCCGCUGCUGCAAUGCCCAGGCCCCCCGCAACGUUCCUCGUCUGUAAUGGUGCCAGAGGCUUUAAAUCUUGCAGAAGCCACAUCUGCUGCCUGCAGGUAAACCUCCCUGGCUGAGCCCACUGCGCACGCCUCCACGUUCUGGAGCCAGAAACAAUGAGAAGCACAAUUCCGGCAGCAUCUCUCCUCCCGGUCAUUUGCAUAGCACAACCUCUCCCUCCACCCCCUCCUGUCUCCCACGUGGAUCUUCAUGUAAUUAAUUAAUAUCGCGUUCAUCAGAGCUUAAUUCAUGUUCUUGUAAUAUACAAGGAUUAAAAAAAAAUCCUACCAAGAGAGCAGUAAUAGGCUCCGGCUUUUCUGGUCUGGGAGCAAAUAUAAUGAGCCUCCAUGAAAAUAUUGAAUCGCUUCCCGCAGUCUCCACACCUCAGAGCACUGGCAUGUUUACUGUGUCUCCGGUAUGUCAUUAUCAGCAGUGUGAAAAUGGACUCACUCCCACCCUGUCUGGAUCUGGACAAGAGCCCACCACCCCGUUGGCAGUAGUCAGGCAGCUCUGCUUCUAAGAACCUGCAGCUUUUGGAAGAAAGGCACCCUGUGGUUUCAGAAGCCCAAGAGUCCCUGCAGCUCAGCACCCCCAGCCUGGUGCUUGGCAGAUGACUGCCUCCUCACUUAGCAGAGGGAGCAGAAAACUGUGUAUUCUUCAGAACAUCAUGAUAACCUGGCACUCAUGGGUCUAUGGAGAGAAUUCAGGGGGUCUGGGAGCUUGGAUGGAAUAAAUUUGCAUCUUUAUUUUCAGGAAAGUUUUACUGAAGUUUAGCAUUUUCUUUCAUUAUAAAUGGAAUCAGUAUAACCCAAUAGUAUGAGCAGUUACUUCUCCGCAACAUCAAAGUGGCUGCAGAUAUCUCAAAAUAGUAUUUACAUUUAUCAUAACUUAGAAAUUUGGGUGGUAAUUAAACCAGCAACUAUUCUUUGUUUAAUGCAUUAAGAAAGAAGUAUGUAUACUAUCAUAUCUCAAUUAAAAAUAUUUUAAGAACUG
ensembl:lncRNA novel transcript